GCCCGACUAGCUCACCGGUAGAGCGCCUCACUAGUAUCCUCCAAUAAAUACGAGAAGUAAAUGAGGAGGCAACAGGUUCGACUCCUGUGUUGGGCA